GAUGAACGCUGGCGGCGUGCCUAAUACAUGCAAGUCGAGCGAACAGACGAGGAGCUUGCUCCUCUGACGUUAGCGGCGGACGGGGGAGUAACACGUGGGGAACCUACCUAUAAGACUGGGAUAAAUUCGGGAAACCGGAGCUAAUACCGGAUAAUAUAUUGAACCGCAUGGUUCAAUAGUGAAAGACGGUUUUGCUGUCACUUAUAGAUGGAUCCGCGCCGCAUUAGCUAGUUGGUAAGGUAACGGCUUACCAAGGCGACGAUGCGUAGCCGACCUGAGAGGGUGAUCGGCCACACUGGAACUGAGACACGGUCCAGACUCCUACGGGAGGCAGCAGUAGGGAAUCUUCCGCAAUGGGCGAAAGCCUGACGGAGCAACGCCGCGUGAGUGAUGAAGGUCUUCGGAUCGUAAAACUCUGUUAUUAGGGAAGAACAAAUGUGUAAGUACCUAUGCACGUCUUGACGGUACCUAAUCAGAAAGCCACGGCUAACUACGUG
rnacentral:rRNA from 1 species